rnacentral:rRNA from 1 species
UACGGAGGGUGCAAGCGUUAUCCGGAAUCACUGGGCGUAAAGGGCGCGUAGGCGGCCUGUUAAGUCCGAUGUUAAAGACUGGGGCUCAACCCCAGCAUUGCGUUGGAUACUGGCAGGCUUGACGGUUGGAGAGGCGAGUGGAAUUACCAGUGUAGCGGUGAAAUGCGUAGAUACUGGUAGGAACACCCAUUGCGCAGGCAGCUUACUAAACCAUAACUGACGCUCAGGCACGAAGGCGUGGGGAUCAAACAGGAUUAGAUACCCCCGUAGU